UACGAAGGGGGCUAGCGUUGCUCGGAAUCACUGGGCGUAAAGGGUGCGUAGGCGGGUCUUUUAAGUCAGGGGUGAAAUCCUGGAGCUCAACUCCAGAACUGCCUUUGAUACUGAAGAUCUUGAGUUCGGGAGAGGUGAGUGGAACUGCGAGUGUAGAGGUGAAAUUCGUAGAUAUUCGCAAGAACACCAGUGGCGAAGGCGGCUUACUGGUCCGGUUCUGACGCUGAGGCGCGAAAGCGUGGGGAGCAAACAGGG
rnacentral:rRNA from 1 species